CGGGAAGUAGCUCAGCUUGGUAGAGCACAUGGUUUGGGACCAUGGGGUCGCAGGU
rfam:Pontibacillus marinus BH030004 = DSM 16465 strain BH030004 contig287, whole genome shotgun sequence.